rnacentral:rRNA from 1 species
UCAAGAAUAUUAAUCAAUGCUCGGCAGAGUGAACUAGCUAACUGGAAUCACGAAUGUGUCAUUUGUGAUAACGUAAAGGAAAAAUAAUGAUGUCACUUUACUAUUAGUGUUGUCAAAGUCUGGUGCCAGAAGACUCGGUAAGGCCAGAGACGCUAGCGGUAAUCGUCUUAAUCAGGCGUAAAGGGUUUGUAGGCGGCUUUAAAAUAUAUUACAAUCUCAUAACCAAAUGGUMAGUAAAGAAUAAAAGCUAGAAUCAGGUAGAGGAUAUGUGAGAGAAUACUUGGAGUAGGGUCGAUAUCUGUAGAUACCAAGUAGAAUAUUAAAGGCGAAAGCUCUUUUCCAAUAAUGAUUGACGCUCAGAAACGAAGGUGAGGAUCGGAAAUAGGAUUAGAUACCCGGAUAUCCCUCUCUGUCAACGAUGAAUGGUAGUUACUAGUUCAAUGAGCUAGUGGCGAGGUUAACACGUUAACCAUUCCGCCUUGUGAGUACAA